rnacentral:misc_RNA from 1 species
GAUGAAGAACGCAGCGAAAUGCGAUAAGUAAUGUGGAUUGCAGAAUUCAGUGAAUCAUCGAAUCUUUGAACGCACAUUGCGCCCGUCAGUAUUCUGGCGGGCAUGCCUGUUCGAGCGUCAUUACGCCCCUCAAGUCCCCUGUGGACUUGGUGUUGGGGAUCGGCGAGGCUGGUUUUCCAGCACAGCCGUCCCUUAAAUUAAUUGGCGGUCUCGCCGUGGCCCUCCUCUGCGCAGUAGUAAAACACUCGCAACAGGAGCCCGGCGCGGUCCACUGCCGUAAAACCCCCCAACUUUUUAUAGUUGACCUCGAAUCAGGUAGGACUACCCGCUGAACUUAAGCAUAUCAAUAAGCGGAGGA